rnacentral:rRNA from 1 species
CCUACGGGUGGCAGCAGUGGGGGAUAUUGCACAAUGGGGGGAACCCUGAUGCAGCGACGCCGCGUGGGUGAAGAAGCGCCUCGGCGCGUAAAGCCCUGUCAGCAGGGAAGAAAAUGACGGUACCUGAAGAAGAAGCCCCGGCUAACUACGUGCCAUCAGCCGCGGUAAUACGUAGGGGGCAAGCGUUAUCCGGAUUUACUGGGUGUAAAGGGGGCGCAGACGGCGAUGCAAGCCAGGAGGGAAAGCCCGGGGCCCAACCCCGGGACUGCUGUUGGAACUGCGUGGCUGGAGUGCAGGAGGGGCAGGCGGAAUUCGUGGUGGAGGGGUGAAAGGCGGAGAUAGGAGGAGGAACACCGGUGGCGAAGGCGGCCUGCUGGACUGCAACUGA